ACCGGGGGUCCCUGCCUGUAUCCCCCUCCUCGCACCGGGCUCGGGGAGGGGGGGGUGGGUAUUGCGGGGAAGCGGGGAUGCGCGGAAGGGAUGCGGGAGCGAGCGCGGAGCGCCGCGUGUGGGGGGGGCGGGGGUCCCAGCCCAUCCCAUCCCAUCCCGUCCCGUCCCUCCCGCCCCGCCGCGGUGCCCGGACUGCAGCAUCCCUCCCGCCGCAGUGCCCGCAGCGCCGGCGCCGGCCCGCAACACCGGCCGGGGCGGCGGGGAGGAAAAGGGGGGGGCUCGGGGGCGCCGGUACCACCCCGGAGGAUGGGGGUCUUCCCCACCAGGAGAAGAAGGCUGCGCACCUAAGAGAGGAGGGGGACGGGUACGGAUCCUCCUGGUCAUCUGAUCCAGGUCAAGAAGGACUUUGCGUUGCCCACAGCCCGUGGAACCCACCAGAGCAUCAUCUCCCCAGGGCCUGCUGCCGCCCCCCAGGAGGGAGGCUCUUUCAAUCCCUGGAGGAUUGAGAGGCUGGCCCCCCCGUCCCCAGCAG
rnacentral:lncRNA from 1 species